CGGAGACGGAGAAAUCCUAGCCGUGCUUGGAGCUUCCGGAUCGGAAAAAUCAACAUUAAUCGAUGCUUUGGCGAAUCGGAUCGCGAAAGGAAGCUUGAAAGGAUCAGUAACAUUAAACGGCGAGCAAUUGGAAUCCCGAUUACUCAAAGAAGAAGCUCAGAGUUCAAAGAAUUCUAUCCAAAUCAAAGAAGAAGCUCAGAGAACAACUAGUAUUGAUGAACAAAACGCUCGACGACUACUUGGAUCCGGCUCUUUUAUCUACAAUUUGCACCAAAAUUAGGAGCAAAAAAAGGAAACGAGAUCAUGAGUACAAAAAUAUAAUCAAACGGAAGGAGUUUCAUGACGAGUUUGAGUGGCCACUUAAUGAAUUGAAGGUGUUUGAAAAGGUUUCGAACGGUACCGAAAUCAUCGACGAAUCAGGGAAACGACGUCACCGGAGGAGCAAUUGCGAAGCAGUGGUUGAUCUCAAUAACGAUGAUCUGGAUCCGAUUAAAGAUCAUGAAGGUCACGAAGAUCAGCUGUAUUAUACUAGUUGUGCUCCGUUUCAGAAGUUUGAGUUAAUGGCGUCGAAGCAGUUCAAAGGGGUGAAGGUUAAGCGGGAACUGGGUGAAGGAUAAAAAAACGAGGGAUCAAUUAUCACCUAUGCUGACAUAGUAUUCUUCUUCAGGUGAUAAAGAUGAAGAAGACGACGGGGCGCAGACUGACAGAUCUAGCCGACAGAGCACAGGAUGAGAUGGAGGGUAAAAUAGUAAAAUUACAUCUAUUCUUAAUUUGUGUGAAAAUAUGUAGAACGUCAAAUAUAAUGGGAUGGAGGGAGUAUUAAAUAUAAUAUUAAUUAUUUAUAUUGUCUGUAUAUUGGAAUUUUUUUUUAUUAUUUAUUGGACAAAAAAU
rnacentral:lncRNA from 1 species